UGAUGCUGAUGAGGAUGGGCCAGUGC
rnacentral:piRNA from 1 species